rnacentral:tRNA from 2 species
GUUAAUGUAGCUUAAUAAUAAAAGCAAGGCACUGAAAAUGCCUAGAUGAGUAACACAUACUCCAUAAACA